AUCGAUGAAGAACGCAGCGAAAUGCGAUAAGUAAUGUGAAUUGCAGAAUUCAGUGAAUCAUCGAAUCUUUGAACGCACCUUGCGCCCUUUGGCCAUUCCGAAGGGCAUGCCUGUUUGAGUAUCAUGAACACCUCAACUCUCAUGGCUUGCCAUGACGAGCUUGGACUUUGGGGGUCUUGCUGGCCUGCGGUCGGCUCCUCUCAAAUGAAUCAGCUUGCCAGUGUUUGGUGGCAUCACAGGUGUGAUAACUAUCUACGCUUGUGGUUUUCCACCAGGUAACCUUCAGUGAUGGAGGUUCGCUGGAGCUCAUAAACGUCUCUCCUCGGUGAGGACAGCUCUUUGAACGUUUGAUCUCAAAUCAGGUAGGACUACCCGCUGAACUUAA
rnacentral:rRNA from 1 species